rnacentral:lncRNA from 1 species
GCCCUGUUUGGAUCCCACUGCUAGAGCUAGUUUGAGCUAGUUUGAGCUGAACUAGCUCCCAAAGUAUCCAAACACAUGGGCUAGUUUGGGUUAGAUGCAAACUAACCCAUCAAAAAAACUAGCCCUGAGAAGAGGUGCUAAUUGGAGCUAGUUGGGGAUGGACAGCUAAAAAUAAUAAUAUUUUGACCGCAUCAGAUCCUUUCCUCGCCCCGCCAGCCGCGCGCUCCCC